rnacentral:rRNA from 1 species
GUGCCAGCAGCCGCGGUAAUACGAAGGGGGCUAGCGUUGCUCGGAAUCACUGGGCGUAAAGGGCGCGUAGGCGGCGUUUUAAGUUGGGGGUGAAAGCCUGUGGCUCAACCACAGAAUUGCCUUCGAUACUGGGACGCUUGAGUGUGGUAGAGGUUGGUGGAACUGCGAGUGUAGAGGUGAAAUUCGUAGAUAUUCGCAAGAACACCGGUGGCGAAGGCGGCCAACUGGACCAUCACUGACGCUGAGGCGCGAAAGCGUGGGGAGCAAACAGGAUUAGAUACCCUGGUAGUCCACGCUGUAAACGAUGAAUGCCAGCCGUUGGGGGGCUUGCCUUUCAGUGGCGCAGCUAACGCUUUGAGCAUUCCGCCUGGGGAGUACGGUCGCAAGAUUAAA